CUUGAUCAUUUUUUCCCAAAAACUUCGAAUUCAUCAUUUUAUUUGAAGUUAGGGUUUGGUGAAUGGAAAUGUAGACUACGAAGCCAAAUGCAUUCUCAAUCAAUUGAUCUCAAACCCUAACUGAUCUCUACACUCGAAUGAUUUAAUCGGGCAGAUCACUAGACAAGUCGAUUUCAAUGCUUCAGAUGGAGCUGGUUGCUACUCGAAGUUCUCAAGAGAUGAGGAGAUCUGAUGAGUUCACUCACAUCUCCGAAUUGACUCAUGAGGGCUUGCCAAGGAAGAAGGCUUUCAUAGUUAUUGGAAUUAAUAUUGCUUUUAGUAGUAGGAAGAGACGUGAUUCGGUUAGACAAACUUGGAUGCCUCAAGGAGAGAGACUUUUUCAAUUGGAAUAAGAGAAGGGAAUUAUCAUCCGGUUCGUGACCGGCCAUAGGUAAAUCUCUUGUCUGCAUUUUCUCACAAGUUGGUUAGUUUAGUAUUAUUUGAAAAAAAUAGGAAUUCUUCGGGCAGUAUGAUCUAAUUAUUAAUUUUUUGAAGUUGGAUCCAUUGCUUUUCCUUGAUAUAGAUUUGUCAAAAGUCAGCUCUUGCUUGUGUAACAAUAGACAUUGUUAAGCAAAUAACUGUAUCAUUAUCACAUGAAUUGCCUUUAAAAAUUAAAAUAGAAUAUCCAGGAAGUUUUGAGAUGUUCACUUGUUAUGAGAAUAAACAAGUUUUAGAUUAUUCUUUGUUUACUAUAUUUCCAUUCCAUUGGUGGUCAACAACCAGAGCCAUAGCAAAAGCACAAAUAAUCUUUACCACAUGCUGCGGGGUAAUUUACUUUUAUGUGCUGUGAUGUUCUUUGAUGAGACUAGAAAAAGACAAACUAAAUUUCCAUGAAGAUGUUUGUUUGUAUAUCUAAGAACUGCAGAACUAUUUGGUCAAUGAAUCAAUUGGACAGGUGAACUAAAUCUUAAUUGAUCUGCAUUCCACGUUGGUGUUGGUGGACAAGUACAAGAAGCACUCUCCCGUGGACUUCGAUGUCAAAUUUAUGUAAAGCUGCACUAGGAAGGAAACUUUGAUCGCUGCUCCAUAUGGUUGAAAUCGCGGUUGGUUUGAAUAAGGUGAACUUGUAGUUCUAGCAUUUAAGAAGUUUAGGGAAAGUUUGGAGGUUUUUGUAGACAAAAAUGAGUAGGAAUUAACUUGAGUUUUAGAAUUAUAACAUGUAGAAACUUAAAAGUGUAAUAAAAUUUAUAGGCGGCAAUUAUUUUGUCGUAUGUAGAUGCUGUAAAUUAUAGUCCAUGAAAAUUAAUUAAAACAUACUUGACCAAACAAGGUUCCAAGGGUUGCUUCGUUUAAAAUUCUAAAGUUGUCUCCUCUCUUUUGAUUGUGUUUCGCAUCGUUUUCUUAACUGGUAUGUAGAUGCUAUAAAUUAUUGUCUUAGGAGCCUUAGCAUAAUCAUGUGUACGAAGAUAGUAGUUGAAGAGGAUUUUCUCAAGGGUAUGAGGUGGACAGUUAAAGUUUGAUUUUGCACCUUAAGGGAGGAUAUUCCCCUGGAUUUUAGGUGGAUAGUUAAAGUUUGAUUUUUACCUUAUGUGCUUUGCCUCGUUUGGGAAUAGACUUUUUUAGUAAU